rnacentral:rRNA from 1 species
UACGUAGGCAGCAAGCGUUGUUCGGAGUUACUGGGCGUAAAGAGUGCGUAGGUGGUGCCCUAAGUCUGUUGUGAAAUCUCCCGGCUUAACUGGGAGGGUGCGGUGGAAACUGGGGUGCUUGAGUGUGGGAGAGGUAAGCGGAAUUCCGGGUGUAGCGGUGGAAUGCGUAGAGAUCCGGAAGAACACCGGAGGCGAAGGCGGCUUGCUGGACCUGGUCUGACGCUGAGGCGCGAAAGCGUGGGGAGCGAACAGG